CAGGAUGACGGUAAAAUGUUUAUUGGAGGCUUGAGCUGGGAUUAGAGCAAGAAAGAUCUGACUGAAUAUUUGUCUCAAUUUGGGGAAGUUGUAGACUGUAGGAUUAAAACAGAUCCAGUCACUGGAAGAUCAAGAGGAUUUGGAUUUGUGCUUUUUAAAGAUGCUGCUAGUGUUGAUAAGGUUUUGGAACUGAAAGAACACAAACUGGAUGGCAAAUUGAUAGACCCCAAAAGGGCUAAAGCUUUGAAACGGAAAGAACCCCCUAAAAAGGUUUUUGUGGGUGGAUUGAGCCCAGAUACUUCUGAAGAACAAAUUAAAGAAUAUUUUGGAGCCUUUGAAGAGAUUGAAAAUAUUGAACUUCCCAUGGAUACAAAAACAAGCGAAAGAAGAGGAUUUUGUUUUAUCACAUAUACAGAUGAAGAGCCAGUAAAGAAAUUGUUAGAAAGCAGAUAACAUCAAAUUGGUUCUGGGAAGUGUGAAAUCAAAGUUGCACAGCCCAAAGAGGUGUAUAGGCAGCUACAGCAACAACAAAAAGGAGGAAGAUGUGCUGCAGCUGGUGGGUGAGGUGUACCAAGGGUCGUGGCCGAGGUCAGGGCCAAAAUGGAACCAAGGAUUUAAUAACUAUUAUGAUCAAGGAUAUGGAAAUUACAAUAGUGCCUAUGGUGGUGAUCAGCACUAUAGAGGCUAUGGUGGAUAUGAUUAUACUGGGUAUAACUAUGGGAACUAUGGGUAUGGACAGGAAUAUGCAGACUACAGUGGUCAACAGAGCACUUAUGGCAAGGCUUCUCAAGGGGGUGGCAAUCACCAAAAUAAUUACCAGCCAUACUAGAGGAGGACACUGGAGAAAACAGGAGAUGCUAAAGAAACCCAUCUUGCAGGACGACACUGAAGACUGGUCUUCUGUUGAUCUAAGAUGAUUAUUUUGUAAAAGACUUUCUAGUGUACAAGACACAACUAUUGUGUCCAACUGUAUAUAGCCGCCAAUUAGUUUUCUUUGUUUUUACUUUGUCCUUUGCUAUCUGGGUUAUGACUCAUUGUGGAUUUGUGUUUAUACAAUUUUAUUUGUAUGAUUUCAUGUUAAACCUCAAAUUAAUGCUUCCUUAUGUGAA